CACACCUUUUCUUUUCCUUUCUCUUUCACCUCUGUCUCCGUGUCUGGUCGGAAUUACAAAGCAUUCAAAAACAAUAACAAUAAAGUUUUAAGUAUCAGGCGUGACAUUAAAAGCAGACGCUUUAAUGCUCCACCUGAGAGUAAAUCUGUAAGGCUUGUUACCAGCAUUCAGACAUCCAUUCUGCUUGCUUCACAGCCAGACAGGACCCUGUAAAAAAAUAAUAAUAAAAAAAAAGAUUUGUUUUGUUAAUGUAAUUAAAUCUGCCUAAUAAUUGUAACAGGACUGUAAUUUUUCAUCUGUUCAUAGUUUGGUAUUACUCAAACAUUGAUAAAUGGCAAUUUAUCAUUGUACAUUUAUGCAUUUCAGAUAUUUGUGAACGUAGGCUACUAUACAAUGUGGGCAGACAUGUACCUAAACUGACACGUUUUCUUAUUUUUUAUUCUUCAUAUGUAUUGGUUUUCAGGUUGACCACAUCUUCGGUAAACAAAUUAACUGGGUAAAUAAUGGAAUACAUCAGAGACUUUUAUACAUAGUCUGCAACCUGACCUAGGCUUGCUUUCAGCAUUGUGUAGGAGGUGUUGUAAUGGCACAGAGCUCCAUACAGCACUCAGGAUUUAGUGUGCUAGACACAGAGGCCUCCGGCAAUCAGAGGCAUCCAUCAUAGCCAUGGUUUAUAGAGUCAUGGAAGAUAGUUGGGGACAGUCGUACAGAGACAAAAAGACAAACAGACAAAAGAAGACAUUGACAGAGCGAGGCAACUAGACAAAGUGACAAAUAUAGAGAGUUGGGUGUGUAAAAUGCAUGCAUAUGAAGAAGACUAAAAUGUUGGUGUAAUAGCAUUAGUCGAGGUGGGAUUUACUCAGAAGAAGCUUGGCUGUCCCAUUGGAUGAAUAGGUGUAAUCAUAGUUCAGCAGCAGUCAUUAACAGCCCGCCUCUGCAAUGCUGUUAACAUGAUGAAAUUACGGUGCAUUAAAUCUUGAAGGAGUGUAAUUUCUCCCUGGGCUGCCACCUUACCGUGGUGUAGGGGUAUGAGUGUCUAGGAGCUAAGUUGUCUGAGGCUUUCUGCCUCUGGUAGGGUCACCCAUGGCAAACAAGUCCUAGGUAAGGGAUCAGACAAAGAGCAGCCCGAAGACCUCUUAUGAUGAAUUAUAUAAAUAGAAACGGUGUUCCCUCUCUCGGACUUGGGUCACCGUGGCCCCCCUCUGGAGCCAGGCCUGGAGGUGGGGCACGUUGGCGAGCACCUGGUGGCCAGGCUUUCACCCAUUGAGCCUGGCUGGGCACAGCCCGAAUAGGAAACGUGGGUCCCCCUUCCCAUAGGCUCACCACUCUUGAGAGGGGCCAAAGGGGUCGGGUGCAGUGUGUGACGGGUGCUAGUCGAGGGCGGGCCCUUGGCGGUCUGAUCCUUGGCUACAGAAGCUGACUCUUGGCACAUGGAAUGUCACCUCUCUGGUGGAGAAGGAGCCUUAGUUGGUGUGUGAGGUUGAGAGGUUCCGACUAGAUAUAGUCAGACUCACCUCAACGCAUGGCUCUGGCUUUGGAACCAGUUUCCUUGAGAGGGGUUGGACUUUCUACCACUCUGGAGUUGCUCCCACUGAGAGGCGCCGAGCAGGGGUGGGCAUACUAGUUGCCCCCCAUCUUGGUGCCUGCAUGUUGGGGUUUACCCCAGUGAAUGAGAGGGUAGCCUCCCUCUGCCUACGUGUGGGGGGGAUGGGUUCCGACUGUGGUCUGAGCUUAUGCAAGAAAAUACAUUUCAGACCACCCACCAUUUUUGGAGACCUUGGAGGGGGUGCUGGAAAGCGCUCCUUCCGGUGACUCCCUCGUUCUGCUGAGGGACUUUUAACGCUCACAUGGGCAAUGACAGUGAGACCUGGAGAGGUGUGGUUGGGAGGAACGACCCCCCCCUGAUCUGAAUUUGAGUGGUGUUUUGUUAUUGGACUUCUGUGCCAGCCAUGGAAUGUCCAUAAUGAACACCAUGUUCAGACAUAAAGGUGUCCAUAUGUGCUCUUGGCACCAGGAUACCUCAGGCCGCAGCUCGAUGAUUGACUUUGUUGUUGUUUUGUCUGACCUGCGGCUGCAUGUCUUGGACACUCGGGUGAAGAGAGGGGCGUAGCUGUCAACUGACCACUACCUGAUGGUGAGUUGGCUCAGAUGGUGGGGGAGGAUGCCGGUCAGACCAGGCAGGCCCAAACGUAUCACGAGAGUCUGCUGGGAACGUCUGGCAGAGUCUCCUGUCAGAAGGAGCUUCAAUUCCCACCUCCAACAGAACUUCCAAAAGGCUCCGGUGGAGGCAGGGCACACUGAGUCUGAAUGGACCCUGUUCUGUGCCUCCAUUGUUGAGGCGCUCGACCGGAGCUGUGGUCGCAAGAUCGUCGGUGCCUGUCGUGGUAGCAACCCCUGAACCCGCUGGUGGACACCAGCGGUUAGGGAUGCUGUCAAGCUGAAGAAAGAGUCCUAUCAGGUCUUUUUGGCCUGUGGGACUCCAGAGGCAGCUGACAGGUACCGGCAGUCCAAGCGGAACGCGGCUCGGGUGGUUGCCAAGGCAUAAACCCAGGCAGUGGAGGAGUUCGGUGAGACCAUGGAGCAAGACUUCCGAAUUCGGUACUUUUUAAGGUACCGACCAAAUUCCAUAUUACCGACCGAGCACCGACUCAUGUCAUUUCAAAUGUUUCCUCGUUUCGGUACCCGUCCUUCAUAACGAGAACUUGCCAAGACAGCUGCGCAUGCGCAAGAGCGUUAUGUCGUCGCUCGCUGCGAGCCAGUUGUAAACAGAGCAGCAUAGUAGAAAGAACGCACGCUAAAGCUUGGGUCCACUUCACAAAAUGUGAUGGGUAACUGGGUGAUAAUGAAACCAGCAACAACGAUCUAAGUGAGACAUCCUCAUCUGCUCCAGUAGGUAAAUAAAUUGUUUAAGAUAACGUUAGCUUGAUAUGUUAGCUUCCGUUUCGCUAAUGGUGCAUUCGCUUUCUCCUCGGAACUCCGAAUUUCCGACUAGAAGAACAUAAAAUUUGGCUUCACUUUACUAAAUGCGACGGGUGAUUGGGUGAAGAUGAAACCAGUGACAACGAUCUAAGUGUGAGGCAUCAUCGUUUUAAUCUGCUCCAGCAGUUAAGUAAACUGUUUAAGAUAACGUUAGCUUGAUAUGUUAGCUUCCAUUGCCACCGCUGUUAUCAGCUAAUGGUGUGUUCGCUUUCUCCUCGGAAAUUCUAACUUCCCAGUAGGAAAAAUCUAAUGAAAAAAGACGGCAAAAGGAAUGAAGAAGUAAAUUAUUUCACAGUAAAGAUGUCAGUUUAAUUAUCAGCUUAUAAAACUACAAGGGCGAUGUUAAAAUACAAACAGUUGAAUGUUAUUUAUCGUGAUAUUUAUCAAAUAUUGUUAUAUAUUGAGAAAAAUAUACAUUUAAUUAUAAAAGAGAAUUAAAAUAAUAAACACUCAAAAGUAUCGAAAAUUGGUACCGUUAAGUAUCGGUAUCGAUUCCUAGGUACCGGGAAUUAGUACCGAAUCGAUUCAAAUGUCAAAGGUACCCAUCCCUAGCCGUGAGCGGUUCUGGUGCUGUUUGGGCCGCAGCCGCUAGCAGCGCUACUUAAACAGUUAUCCUCCUAGUUUUUGUCUGGCUUGCCAGGCUAGUUGAUUCUCACACGAGGUGAAAAUCGGCUCAGGUUGUAUACUUAUUUUUUGCACAGGCAUUUGUUUACUGUGAUGUAAAGUUGAAGUGCUGCAGUUUUGAAAACUAAUUUUGAAUAAAACUUGAGGAAUAACUGGCAAUUGUGUGCUCAUUUUAAGAGGUAUUUCAUAUUUUAUAACAUGCUAUUUGAUAUAAUGGUUUACAAACACAAAAGGGUAAUUUAUUAGAGUACUCGAUUAAUCGAUAAAAGAUUCGAUAGAGUACUCGAUUACAAAAAUGUUCAAUAGCUGCAGCCCUAAUCAUCAGACUCCAGAGUAGAUAGACUUCCCAGAAAUAAAAGCUGAAUUUGCUGCUCUUUGUUCCGUAUGUAUUGAUCCACAGAAGAGACGGACAAACCAGUUUAAAGCUAUCACUGAUUCUUGCUUCCUAUCACUUUUUAUUUAUGAGGUUGCAACAUCUAUCACUUCUAAAUAUCAUUUGUAAGGAGCAUACAUUUUGCCUCAUGCAUCUUGAACGAUUUCAAGCCUUUAUUGUUUUGUUUGUGCUGCAGAGGUUUAUAAGAGUACUCGAUUAAUCGAUAGAAGAAUUGAUAGUACUCGAUUACAACAAUAUUCAAUAGCUGCAGCCCUAAAAUAAUGGGUUUAAUAGUAAAUGACCUGCAUUUGUAUAGCAUCCUCUAGAGUUCUGCAACCCCGCAAGGCGCUUUUAGAUACAAAAAGACAAAAGACUGGAAUUCACCGAUGAGCCUGAAUGUUUCAAACUGUAUUUUGACUUGUACAUUUCCUUUGACCUCCAUUCAUCUCUUACGUGUCCUAGGUAAAGGAUUAUUUUUCACUUCUAAUGCUUGAUGCUUCAAGUUUGCCUGAGUAUGUUAUUAAUCGAUUUUUUUUUGGUAUAAACAAGGCACCUAAGUAAACACUAACAAUAAGCUCUGUUAGUACCAUCACCCCGAAGUCUUUUUCAUUUGCAUCCUAUGGGAUAUCGAGAUGGACUUCCACAGCACUGGAUCAGCUUUAGAGCACAGGGCAGCUCAAAGAUGUUCAAAGCAUAAAGAUGUGUCAAUCCACAGAAAAUUAUUUGCUGAGAUGAUUAACAGACAAGGAAUAUUGCGAGGUUUACUCAAAGCUUCAUGAAGGGUUGUGCUAUUACUCAUUGAGGAUUCUCAGAGGUCAAAGAUGCAUACAGUAAAUAGCUUCAGUGCUUUUUAUCCCUCUACCUCCUUCCAUUCUGGUCUGCAUUACCACUAUUUGUCUCUUUCUGUCACCUAGCAGUCUGAAUGGGGAAUGAAAACGGUUUCCCAAAGAAGUACAUACUUUAAGCUUUCAAAUGUAAACACUACAUUUUGUCUUUUUUAUAAUAGGCAUUUUUAUUUGUCUUUUAUUUGGUGAUUUAUCAUGGGUCCUGGGAAAAUGUAAGCUCUAACAAAGUUUCAUAUGCUUGACUGAGGCUCAAAUAUCAGUUUCCAUUUGCAUAGUGACUUACUAUCCCGUAAUAUCCUAACAGUAGUAUACAGUAUUUUUCCUGCAUAUGUGCCAUUGUGCACAUACUGUCACCUCCUGACCCAGUUGCCUUGGUUACCACCUACUCAUCGUCCCUUUAGACUGUCAUGUUAGAUCGCAGAAGUGUUUUCUCUGAACACCAUUGAAAGAGACAGGGAGGAAGAGUGAGACAGGGUAUCAAAGGUAAUAUGAGAAGGAAUGUGGCCCAGUGCAAGUGGUCAUAGAGGCCCAAGGGAAAAUUUUACUCUUAGGUUUCUUCUUCUCUUUCUCAAAUGGUUACCAGCCUUACAUUCCUCUUUCCAAAAUCCACACAUGCCUUUUUCGUUGGGUACUGAGGAUAGAAUAAGUUCUACUACUAGUGGUAGUUAUGUCCAGCAUGUUUGGGAAUAUGAAGCUUACUUGGAAGGCGGGGUGAGGAGAGAGCCUCUAACAGAAGAGGUCAUAUUAAGCAACUCAGAUUCCAGGAAGUUAGACAUCUGACAUGCUAAAGGAUCGCAGUAUCUCUUUGUUACAAGCCAAACAGAGCAAGAUGAUAUGAAACCAAUACCCUCAAACAUCUGUUGUGACUUUAAUUCUCUCCGAUUCUCUCAUUCUGAAAUCAUAAAUUUUACCAACAAGUCCAAAAGUGAUUAAGUCAAUUUAUUCACAGGAGUGUCAGUUAAGCGCCAAUGGUCAUUCAAUAAUAUUCCUUGGUGAUGUGUAGAAAAUAGAAAGUAUCCAAGGAAGAUGGGCCAUUUUGGCAGCACUCCAUUUAUUGAAAAUAAGCACAGAGCCAAGAUAAAGCACAGUCAUGCCAACGAGAAAGCAGGAGACUUUGAUUUAGAUCUGUGUUACUCGGAAAUCACCAUUUCUGUCUCACUGUAUAGCUGGAGGGCACAGUGCCUGCUGGGUGAUCAAAUUAUCACAGAGCUAUGUUAUUUAAUGCUUGGGAAAAGAAGAAGAAGAGGCAAACUCAGAACAUUAUUUGUUAUAAUGUAGUUUUCUGAUGGGAAGCGUACAAAACAAGAAAAUUAACCAGAGUUUUUUAAAGUACAUUAAUAUUUAUCACAGCAAUGAAAUAUGUGCUUGAAUAAAGUUUUCUUAGGUAAAUAUUCACAUCUUUGCAGAGUGUAUUUGUGUAUUUACACAAAGAGGCAACUCAAAAGCAAUUCUGUUUAGACAUAUAGGAUGCUUGCAAAAUGCAUACAUUGUUGAUAUAAUACAGUUUUAAUGUUUACAUGGUUAUUUUAGCAACAAUAAUUAUGUAUUCCACAACUAGUUUAGCUGCAUGAGGUCACAACUAUGAUGCAUUCAUUUACCACCAAUAUCUCAAUGGUUAGUUGUCUCAUUGACAAUCCAGAGGCUGCUGAUUUGCUGGAAGUGUGAUGCAUUGGAAAGGAACCCACUUUCUAUGGAGCUAGGAUUGGGACAAUAUUCAGCGUAACUUGUACCAAGUUUUGUAACUUCGAACAUGUUUCAUCGCAUGUAACUUUGGAUUUGUAACUUGUAACUUUAGUUUUCUAACUUGUAAUUUUCAAUUUGUACUUGUAUUACUUGUUUUGUAACAGGACAUUUUCAUUUUGUACAAGUAUUUUUUUAUUUUGUAAAAUCAAACUUUUAUUUUGUACAUUUACUACUCUUUUUGUAACAUCAAACAUUCAUUCAGAAACAUGAAACUUUCGUUUUGUAACUAGCAGACUUCCAAAUUGAAAAAAUCAAGGUACAAGUUUGAAAUCGAAACUCUUAAAACACACAUUUCAUUCUACAGGUACAAACCUCUAAUCUACAGUGUUACAGAUCAUUUUGUCUCGAUUCAAGCGUCAGUGGGAGGAACUUGGGUUGAACCAAUUCGAGCACGAGUCUUAGCUACCAAUCACGUUUCUCGAAUUCCUGUCCAAUCAUUGGGAGAGGAGGGCAGGGUUCUGUCAGAGCUGUAGAGAGAGUUAUGACACGGAAUGCGGGAGUCAUGUGGUGCAUGUAGCUUUGAAUAGUUCCAAACAGCCCCCGCUGCUUCAUUGACUGCAGUUCAUUUUCGGUGUUUCGGAAGGAUUCUCUCCGGUAAGUUAAUGAAAUGUCAUCAUUUUGUUGCAUUGUGAAGCGUUAGCUAACCGCUUUGUACCAAAAUAAGCCAACGAUGAUAUUUUAUGUUGCCAGUUUUAGCUAGAUAACCUUUAAAGAGCUAACUGUGUGCAGCUUGUUGGUUGUGAGCAGGAGGAAGAGCUGUAGACAGGUUUCUUUCAGCUUGUUUGAUUCUACGUUUUAAAAACAUUCCCCACAGUUUGAAAUAGGUCAUAAAUUUUUUACAUUAUUAGUUUUAUUUGGGAUUUUUUGUACAAUACGUUGCUGGUUGCUGUAUCAACACGAACAUGCAUCAGAAAUGGAAGCACAAAUGAGAGACCAAUAAUAAAGAAAAUGUGAUUGUGAAGACAAGUAAUUAAUAUUUUUCAGUUAAUAACACUGACUACAACAAACUGCUGAAGCAUGAGACAAACAGGAUUACGAUCGUAAGAUAUGUUGUUUUGUUUUGUGAACUCAAGUAAUAAGAAUAAAAUUACGAUAUUUCAAGAAUAUUAGUCGAACAAUAACUUUUAAAAAUUAGACAUUUUCCAUAAAACUGCUCAUUUCCACUUGCUUUAUAAUAUUAGCAUUUGCAAUUUUGUUAUUAAGGAAUGACAAGAAAUAAGAAUUAACAAUAACACAAUUAUCAAUACAUAAAUGUCAAAGAGUUACUAAAACAAAAAUCUUAUGUAACCAUUAAAGGUUAAACUGUGUUGUGUGUCCAUCUUCAUGUUUUCAUAGUGGCUGAGCGGAGAGCUGACCAGGAACAAUGGUGGUGGCAAAUCCCAGUUGGGUCUGUGAUGGAGUGAUGCACGCCUGGAGUGAUUACCAUCUUAUCCACAGGUUCUAACAUCAGGCAGAGGGAUACUCAUGUCCUGAAGAAACCUGCAGCCUGUUGAACCCACUGAAAAACAGAGUUGUACUGAAAAACGGAGUUGUUUUCCAGCUGGGUUCCCUGGUUGCAUAGCCUGUUCCUUUCUCCUCCUGGCCCUGACGCCGGCUCCUCAUGGCUUCCUGGGAUGUCCCUCUCUCCUGAUACCAUCUCAUGUCCCCCCUCACUUUCCCUCAUUUGCCUCACUGCUGCUGCUGCUUUCCUCAUUCUCUGAAAUUAAAAUGGCACUGUUAGAAUAAAGAAUAAUUUUAAAAUAAAAUAAAUAAAAAUGUCUUAAUAUUUCUAAAGAUUUGUACCACAGUUUACUUGAGUACAAUAUGUGUGGUCACUGGUCAGUGGAUCAACAUGCAGAGGUUCUGCUGUACUUCUCACUGCGGGGUCCUUCCUCCUCCUUGGUUCAGGGCGAUGAACAAACACAGCAUCAGCCCUGAGUCUCACCUUGCCUUGCCUAAGCUUAGUAAACUGUCCCUCCUCAAAAUGUGCCUGUAGAGUGGUGUAUUACUGUAGUUUAUUUCCUGCCACAUUUGACAGUUUAAUUGCAGCCUUGUGCAGUUGAGAGCAGAACAUGUAGAGCCUUGAUAGAAAACAUUUGAGAGUGCACAUUAAACUCACUGCACACAGCUUUUUGUUAUUGUGAUCUCUGGUCAUGGUGAGGUUGCUCCUGCUGACUUGAGCCAACCAUUUUCUUCUUCUCUCUGCAUCUUUGGGUAAGCCAUAAUUCUGAUUCCUCCCUCAGACCGUUUGCUAUAUGCAGGGCAGCCAACCAUGUAAGAUAUUCAACCUAUAAAGGGAUUAUUAAAAUACUAUUUUUGUACACAUGGAAAUAUUGAACUAAACCAAAAAUAUAGAGAUGUAAAAUUACAUUUAAAAAUUUUAUCCAACCCUGAAAUUAGUCAUUUCAAAUUUUAACCCACAGACACAUUUUAUUUUAAUAAUAAGCAAAAUAAAGUUAUUCAAAAGAGUUUCAUUAGGUCUUUAGUACACCGCUCAUAAUUAAUGAUUCAGCUUAUUUGUGCAUAUGUAAUGACUAAACAUAAUGUUGGUAAAAUGCUUUAUUAAAAAUGCUAUUAUACAUGUUGUACAAGUUUGGUGUUCAUUUUUUCACAAAUAACACUUUUUUAUCUACUGUGAUGAACCACACAGUUUUAUUGAAAAUUUCUUUUUAAUUAGUUGCUAUAGAAGCCAGAUAAACUGGGUUAUAGAUGCAUGUACUGUCUUCACAUAAAAAUAUAAAGUAAUGAUUGUAAAAUGUAUUCUACUGAACAUAAUAGGUCAUCAUUCAAAGCAUAAACAGCUACAUAUUUUCUUCAAGGUAAGCUGGAGCAGAAUUCUAGCUUUCAAUAAACACUUUAAAAUGGAUAUUACAACUCGAGUUUAGGGCUUCUUGUAGGACUUAAAGUUAUUAAAUAUGCUUAUAUUAGAGCAGUGUGUUGCAUUACUACAUCAAAUUUAUUGCUAUAGUAUAUUAUAGUAAUGUAUGUGGUCUAAAUGUGUUCUACAGUGUGUUAGGUCUGUCGUAUUCCUGUAAUGUAGAACAGUCAUGGGUGUUUGUCUUCCUACAAAUGCUCGGAAAUAAAUAAAUAGGCUACUUUGUGAAGGAGUUAGGACAUAAAAUAUAUAUAAUAUAUAAUAUUAUUCAAUAAUUACCACAAAUCGCCAGGGAAAAUGUGAUUAUAUUAAAUUUUUGUGAUUUGUCCCACCAUACGCCGUUCAAACUGACUUACGGCGCUGUGGGAUGUUUGGAACUGAGAGCUCCAUGAACCACGUGACCGCGAGUCGGCGAGUUCAAAGAGUGUCGUAACGCUCUCUUUCUACAGCUCUGACAGAACCCUGCCCUCCUCUCCCAAUGAUUGGACAGGAAUUCGAGAAAUGUGAUUGGUAGCUAAGACUUGUGCUCUCAUUGGUUCCACCCAAGUUCCUCCCACUGACGCUAGAAUCGAGACAAAAAGAUCCGUAACACUGUAGAUUUGAGGUUUGUACCUGUAGAAUGAAAUGUGUGUUUUAAGAGUUUUGAUUUCAAACUUGUACCUUGAUUUUUUCAAUUUGGAAGUCUGCUAGUUACAAAACGAAAGUUUCAUGUUUCUGAAUGAAUGUUUGAUGUUACAAAAUGAGUAGUAAAUGUACAAAAUAAAAGUUUGAUUCGACAAAAUAAAAAAUACAUGUACAAAAUACAAUGUUCCUGUUACAAAACAAGAAAUACAAGUACGAAUUGAGAAUUACAAGUUAGAAAACUAAAGUUACAAGUUACGAAUCCAAAGUUACAAGUUACGAAUCCAAAGUUACAUGUGAUGAAACAUGUUCGAAGUUACAAAACUUGGUACAAGUUUCGCUGAAAAUUGUCCCAAUCCUAGCUCCAUAACUUUCACAUAAGUUCACGUUCAAGCACAUACACAUCUGUUUCCCAAGUAUCUGAGUCAUUCCCCUUGAAGCAGGAAUAGCAAAUGUAACCAAAUUGUUUAAUAAUACAGAGAAAUAUGAGCAGACUGCCGCUCUCUGAUGAGCUGCUGAAAGUCUGUGACAUGGAUCUCAGUCUGGGGACCAAUUGUGUAUUCUGGUAAAAGAAGGCUCAUAGACUUAUGUUAAAGCACAGCCCUGCCCCAUGAUAUAAAGGCUGAAUGUCACCCAUGCAGCCCUAAAACCUUUUCAUCACUGACCAUUUUUCUCUCCGUCCUGAGCAUACGAAAUGUGUUUUAAGAUUUACUUCUCUCUUGGGAAUAUUCUUCAACAAAACGCCUCUGCAUACAGUGUGUGUGUUAGAGUGAAAUGCCUCUUCUUUGGCUGAACGAUCCUCAUUUAUAAGGCCACUGGAGGUUGUCGUGUGACUCGAGGCAGCACUUAAACUCUAUGAACUGGUGAAUACGUGUGUUAAAAUAGCGUCUGUGGCCGUGCUGCUAAAUGUGCCGUACUUGAGGCAAUCCUUCCCCUCUGGCUUUUACUCUGGCAAUGUUAUUGUGUGCAAAUGUCUCUUAUCGCUCUCAAUAACUUGCAUCAGUGAGAAACAUCUUUAAAUGAUGAUGUGUUCUUCCUUCCCACACAGAUCUCAAAUUUGACCCUGUGACUGAGCCUUAAAAGCAUGAAAAAUGUAAAAAGCAGGGUUUUUUUUGUGUUUGAGCAAUACUUUUCUGUUUUUUAUAUGCUGAUUUAUGAUAUGUACAUCUUUUUUUGUUGUUUUUAUUACUUCCGUGGGUCGCUUUGGUAACCAUGUGGUCUAUGAGCUGCUGUAAUAUUUAGCUUUAUAGGGUGUGGGCCCCUCCUGUUUCAUUCCAACAUCAACUUUGAACCUGCUAUUAUAAGUUUCAUGCAUUAGAGUAUUUUUGUUUGUUUGUUGUCCUCCCUCUGGGUUUUAAGUGAUGAAGAAAUCCAGCCUGGCAAGCUUUCUGAUCACAGCUGAGAGGCUGUAUUGCUGCCCUCCCUUUCCCUCUGUAACUCCUGUGUGGGAUGACCUUUGACAUCCGUAAAAAUUCAACAGAGGCUUAAGGCAACUGUUAAUUCUCAUUAGUGAUCAGUGUUGGGAGUAACGCGGUACAAAAGUAAUUAACUACUGUAAUGCAUUGCUUUUUGCUGUAAUGUGGUAAUGUAAGGCAUUACAGGGAAAGAAAAUGGUAAUAUUUACUCGGUACAAUUGUCAGUAACGCGGUAAUUACAACGCAUUUUUAAACCCAGAAUCAAGAUGCGGGUUUCCUAAAAAUUCAAAUUGCGGGAAGCCUGAAAAAAGAUCCAGUAUCCACAUAUAUGACGUCAUUUAUGGACUCAGCUUUGCAGGCAUUCUAUGAGCAGAAAGGACGCAGCGGUAAUGGCUCAAAUACUCCAGCUGGGUCCUGCACGCGGCCGCUGUUAUAUUCACAAAAUCGCUCCACCAAAACAAAGUCAUUCAUUUGCGAUCGUUUAUAUCAGCCCAUAUUCUCUGGUACUUCAUGUAAUUUUCAGCUGAGUUCAUAAUCUGUGCGCCAGUGAUUUCAACUCAUUGCUGCUGGAGCGCAGCGCGAAGCUUUUUUAUUUUUUAUUUUUUUUUUUUUGCGUUCGGUAGAUCCCUUUGGCUGAUUAGUUAGAAAGUAGGAAAUCUAGUUUACAGUUUUUCUGGAAGACGGAGAAAGCAUGCAGCAUGCAGGAAGGUUAGAGAGAGAAAAGGGCAAGAAGUUAUUCAAAAUCAAGAAAACAAAACAAAGUGCUUGAAAAGAAAAAAGUAGGUAGAUUUAUCCCCAUUACACGUUUUUUACCAGUGAAAAGCAAUAAUAUACAUAAGCAUUUAAUAUUUUUACAUGUGAUAGAGUCAGAUCACCCCAGAAGUCAGUGCCACAUGCAGGGCCGUAUCAAGGCAUUUGGGGACCAAGGCAAAUAGGCUUGGAGCCCCCACCACCUCACUCCCUCAGUUAAUCUAAGAUGGCAGCGUGCUGAGAGUACAGAUUGUUGUUGCAUUUAUUUAAUAAACAAUCGUUUUAAAGCAUUGUUAUUAUAUCUGACUGUUUUUAACAGCAAUCCUAGCUCAGACACCACAUCACCUUCCACAUGUAUGUCAUGAGCUCACUGAGCGUCAGACUACCAGAUUCAUAUUGAAGUUGUUUUGGUGAAAGUUACUUCAAGUAAUGCAAAAGUAGUGUAAUGCCUUACAUUUUAAAAUCAGUAAUAUUGUAAUGUAAUUAAUUACUUUAAAAUGAGGGUAACAAGUAAUAAAUAAUGCAUUACAGUUUUGAAGUAACUUGCCCAACACUGUUAGUGAUGUACAGCUGGGCGUCAUUCAAAGUUAUUUGUUUUGCUGUAGACAAAAUGUACAACUUUAUGUGACCAGGGUGGUUUUGGAAUUAGAUGGAGUUUUUUAAUUGGCUGCUGUUUGCAGAUUGAGCCACUAUGUGUCUCCAAAUGUUUCACAUCCAACUUUUAUUUAUCAGUUAUUAUAAGGUUGUGUUUUGUGUGUGCUUGCCCUCAGUACUAGAAUGCAACAAAGUGAGAACAGAGCCUAAAAGGCUUUAAAUAGGGGCUGUUAUUACUUGGUCAGUUUUACAGAUAAUAAACUAAAAUUCGAUGCAAUGAUAGUUGAGAGUUAUUCUCAACCCAUACUGUAAGUGUUAAAAUAUUGCAUUAGAUUUUACAACAUUAUGUGAAAUUAUUAAUUCAUUCACUGCCAGCCGUUUCCUGAUCAGAGAAGGCCUUCACUGCUAUUGUUUUUCAGAGUUUUCACAGUAUUUUUUUAAGAGUCACAGAAAGUUGCACACUAGGAUGAUGUCACGCCAAAACUACGAAAACAAGGAGUAGACUUACCUCUUACAUCAGGCAGAAACCGCGCGUUUCGAGCAUUAUCCGUUCUUUCAUAAUCCGUUAUUUGGUCUAAAACAUGCUGGAAGCAGACUGCAGCACCAGGUAUGUCAGCUCAAUUGGUGGCACCACUCUGUAGCAAGUGUGGAGUCUGAGUAUCUUUUCACUAACCCUAUAAAGUAUAAUUUUAGCACAUAUUGGCUCAAGAAAAUUAUUCAAAAAAUAUGAAAAAGUUGCAUAGUGUGGCUUUAAAAUUCGACAGAGUUAUGUUUGUGUACCUUGUGUGCCUCAUAUUCUUUGUAUUUGCUCCAAUGACCAUAAGAGCCAAGGUGGCCUAUCAGAAAACACCCAGAACAUCAGCAGGUCCAUCUCUGCAUCUCUUGGACCUUGUUGAUACUCCGUGCAUAGUGGUACACUGGGAAUUCUGUUGCCAGCCUGUAAUCUGAGCAUCUUAUCAAAUCAAUCAGCGCCUUCCCAGUUAGAGCAUGUCUCGACCGCGACAAAAGGGGGUUUCACAACAUCUGAUGCUCCCAGAGAGAACGGAAAAGGGAGGGAGGAGGGGAGUUAGCGUGAAAAGAUAGUGGGAGAACUGUCUUGUUGGUCUGGCAUGGAGAUUUCUGUUCAAUUCAGCGCAACAUCCUGCUUUCUUCUCUGAUACAGGUCACCAAGAGGGCAGGUAACUGUCAGUGCUUGCCCACUGCAGAGCAGAACAUUCAUGCAUCUAUGAUGGUAACUUUCUUUAAUGCCUAGGUUGUUC